UGCUCCGGUAGUGUAGUCCGGCCAAUCAUUCCGGCCUUUCGAGCCGAAGACCCGGGUUCAAAUCCCGGCCGGAGCAU
rnacentral:tRNA from 1 species